rnacentral:rRNA from 1 species
AGAGUUUGAUCCUGGCUCAGAACGAACGCUGGCGGCAGGCCUAACACAUGCAAGUCGAGCGCUCACUUCGGUGGGAGCGGCGAACGGGUUAGUAACGCGUGGGAACAUACCCUUCUCUAAGGAAUAGCCACUGGAAACGGUGAGUAAUACCUUAUACGCCCUUCGGGGGAAAGAUUUAUCGGAGAAGGAUUGGCCCGCGUUAGAUUAGAUAGUUGGUGGAGUAAUGGCCUACCAAGUCUACGAUCUAUAGCUGGUUUUAGAGGAUGAUCAGCAACGCUGGGACUGAGACACGGCCCAGACUCCUACGGGAGGCAGCAGUGGGGUAUAUUGCACAAUGGAGGAAACUCUGAUGCAGCAACGCCGCGCGGAGGUUGACGCAUUUCGGUGUGUAAACUCCUUUUAUAUGGGAAGAUAAUGACGGUACCAUAUGAAUAAGCACCGGCUAACUCCGUGCCAGCAGCCGCGGUAAUACGGAGGGUGCAAGCGUUACUCGGAAUCACUGGGCGUAAAGCGCGCGCAGGCGGCCUUUUAAGUUGGAUGUGAAAGCCUACGGCUCAACCGUAGAACUGCAUCCAAAACUAUCAGGCUAGAGUGUGGGAGAGGAAGAUGGAAUUAGUUGUGUAGGGGUAAAAUCCGUAGAGAUAACUAGGAAUACCAAAAGCGAAGGCAAUCUUCUGGAACAUUACUGACGCUGAGGCGCGAAAGCGUGGGGAGCAAACAGGAUUAGAUACCCUGGUAGUCCACGCCCUAAACGAUGAAUGUUAGUCGUCGGGUAGCUAGUCUAUUCGGUGAUGCAGCUAACGCAUUAAACAUUCCGCCUGGGGAGUACGGUCGCAAGAUUAAAACUCAAAGGAAUAGACGGGGACCCGCACAAGUGGUGGAGCAUGUGGUUUAAUUCGAAAAUACGCGAAGAACCUUACCUAGCCUUGACAUAUAUUAGAACACCCUAGAGAUAGAGUGGUGCCUUCGGGAGCUUUUAUACAGGUGCUGCACGGCUGUCGUCAGCUCGUGUCGUGAGAUGUUGGGUUAAGUCCCGCAACGAGCGCAACCCUCGUCACUAGUUACUAACGGUUCGGCCGAGGACUCUAGUGAGACUGCCUUCGUAAGGAGGAGGAAGGUGAGGACGACGUCAAGUCAUCAUGGCCCUUACGGCUAGGGCAACACACGUGCUACAAUGGCCAGGACAGUGAGACGCGAUACCGCGAGGUGGAGCAAAUCUAUAAACCUGGUCUCAGUUCGGAUUGUAGUCUGCAACUCGACUACAUGAAGCUGGAAUCACUAGUAAUCGUAGAUCAGCUAUGCUACGGUGAAUACGUUCCCGGGUCUUGUACUCACCGCCCGUCACGCCAUGGGAG